GGUAAGGUGAUAUGAACCGUUAUAACCGGCGAUACCCGAAUGGGGAAACCCAGUGUGAUUCGUCACACUAUCAUUAACUGAAUCCAUAGGUUAAUGAGGCGAACCGGGGGAACUGAAACAUCUAAGUACCCCGAGGAAAAGAAAUCAACCGAGAUUCCCCCAGUAGCGGCGAGCGAACGGGGAGGAGCCCAGAGCCUGAAUCAGCAUGUGUGUUAGUGGAAGCGUCUGGAAAGGCGCGCGAUACAGGGUGACAGCCCCGUACACAAAAGCGCAUGUGCUGUGAGCUCGAUGAGUAGGGCGGGACACGUGGUAUCCUGUCUGAAUAUGGGGGGACCAUCCUCCAAGGCUAAAUACUCCUGACUGACCGAUAGUGAACCAGUACCGUGAGGGAAAGGCGAAAAGAACCCCGGCGAGGGGAGUGAAAAAGAACCUGAAACCGUGUACGUACAAGCAGUGGGAGCACAGGUUUACCUGUGUGACUGCGUACCUUUUGUAUAAUGGGUCAGCGACUUAUAUUCUGUAGCAAGGUUAACCGUAUAGGGGAGCCGGAGGGAAACCGAGUCUUAAUUGGGCGUUAAGUUGCAGGGUAUAGACCCGAAACCCGGUGAUCUAGCCAUGGGCAGGUUGAAGGUUGGGUAACACUAACUGGAGGACCGAACCGACUAAUGUUGAAAAAUUAGCGGAUGACCUGUGGCUGGGGGUGAAAGGCCAAUCAAACCGGGAGAUAGCUGGUUCUCCCCGAAAGCUAUUUAGGUAGCGCCUCGUGAAUUCAUCUCCGGGGGUAGAGCACUGUUUCGGCUAGGGGGCCAUCCCGGCUUACCAACCCGAUGCAAACUGCGAAUACCGGAGAAUGUUAUCACGGGAGACACACGGCGGGUGCUAACGUCCGUCGUGAAGAGGGAAACAACCCAGACCGCCAGCUAAGGUCCCAAAGUCAUGGUUAAGUGGGAAACGAUGUGGGAAGGCCCAGACAGCCAGGAUGUUGGCUUAGAAGCAGCCAUCAUUUAAAGAAAGCGUAAUAGCUCACUGGUCGAGUCGGCCUGCGCGGAAGAUGUAACGGGGCUAAACCAUGCACCGAAGCUGCGGCAGCGANNUGCUGGAGGUAUCAGAAGUGCGAAUGCUGACAUAAGUAACGAUAAAGCGGGUGAAAAGCCCGCUCGCCGGAAGACCAAGGGUUCCUGUCCAACGUUAAUCGGGGCAGGGUGAGUCGACCCCUAAGGCGAGGCCGAAAGGCGUAGUCGAUGGGAAACGGGUUAAUAUUCCCGUACUUGGUGUUACUGCGAAGGGGGGACGGAGAAGGCUAUGUUGGCCGGGCGACGGUUGUCCCGGUUUAAGCGUGUAGGUGUGUGUUCCAGGUAAAUCCGGUUCACUUUAACACUGAGGCGUGACGACGAGGCACUACGGUGCUGAAGCAACAAAUGCCCUGCUUCCAGGAAAAGCCUCUAAGCAUCAGGUAACAUCAAAUCGUACCCCAAACCGACACAGGUGGUC
rnacentral:rRNA from 1 species